rnacentral:rRNA from 1 species
UACGUAGGGGGCAAGCCGUUGUCCGGAUUUAUUGGGCGUAAAGAGCGUGUAGGCGGCCAGGUAGGUCUGCUGUGAAAACUCGAGGCUUAACCUCGAGAUGUCGGCGGAAACCAUCUGGCUAGAGUCCGGAAGAGGAGAGUGGAAUUCCGUGGUGUAGCGGUGAAAUGCGCAGAUAUCAGGAGGAACACCUAUUGCGAAGGCAGCUCGCUGGGACGUUACUGACGCUGAGACGCGAAAGCGUGGGGAGCAAACAGG